UGAUAACUCAGUUGCUAGAGCAUGAGACUCUUAAUCUCAGAGUCAUGGGUUUGAGCCCCACAUUGGGCAAAA